rnacentral:rRNA from 1 species
UACGAAGGGGCGAGCGUUGUUCGGAUUUACUGGGCGUAAAGAGUGCGUAGGCGGUUCUUGAAGUCCGCUGUGAAAGCCCGGGCUUAACCUGGGAAUGGCAGUGGAAACUGGGGACUUGAAUUGAGCAGAGGGGUGGAAUGCCGCGUGGUAGCAGUGAAAUGCGUAGGAGAUGCGGCGGAACACCAUGGCGAGGCAGCCCCUGGGCUUAAAUUGACGCUGAGGCACGAAAGCGUGGGGAGCAAAC